rnacentral:rRNA from 1 species
UGGAAAGUGGCGAACGGGUGAGUAACACGUAGGUGACCUGCCCUGAGGAGGGGAAUAGGCGUGGGAAACCACGGCUAAUACCCCGGAUGUCUAAGCUGUUAGAGGGCUUAGACUAAAGCCCCUGCAAGGGGUGCGCCUCGGGAGGGGCCUGCGGGCUAUCAGCUAUGUUGGUGGGGUAAUGGCUUACCAAGGCGAAGACGGCUAGGGGGCGUGAGAGCGCGACCCCCCACAAUGGAACUGAGACACGGUCCAUACUCCUACGGGAGGCAGCAGUGAGGAAUAUUGCGCAAUGGGGGCAACCCUGACGCAGCAACGCCGCGUGGACGAUGAAGGCCUUCGGGUUGUAAAGUCCUUUUCUGAAGGAAGAUAGUGACGGUACUUCAGGAAUAAGUCCCGGCUAACUACGUGCCAGCAGCCGCGGUAAAACGUAGGGGGCGAGCGUAAUCCGGAUUUACUGGGCGUAAAGCGCACGUAGGCGGCAUCGUAAGUUGGACGGUGAAAGCUCCCGGAUCAACUGGGAGAGGUCGUACAAAACUGUGGUGCUAGAGGUUGAUA